CCGUGCCCGCUCCUCCCCUCGGCCCCGGCGGGCUGCUGGGAGCGGCGGGCGGGGGAGCCCCGGCCCCGGCCCCGGCCCCGACGGCCCGGGCGGCGGCGGAGAGGGGCCGGCAUCCCCCGAGGGGCCGGCCCCGGGCUGCUGGGUGCCCUCCUUCCCCCCGAAAGCUGCGUGCUCCCAGCAGCUGCACCCCGAAAACCACCGGUUGGACCCUGCGCCCGUCGGUCAGAUCCAGUGGGCUGCUGAUUGCACCCUGCACCUGCCAGGCAGACCCCAAGAGCCUCCAGCCAGAUCCUACACCCAUCAACAAGAUCCCCAAGAGCCUCUAGAAGGAGCUUACAUCCAUCAAUUGGACCCCAAGAGCAUCCAGAAGGACCUUACAUCCAUUAAACAGACCCCUGAGAACCUCCCGCAAGACCUUACACCCAUCAACUGGACCCCAAGAACCUCCAGAAGGACCUUACAUCCACCAACUAGACUCAAAGAGCCACCAGCAGGACCCUUCACCUGCCAGCCAGACCCCAAGUGUCGCCAGCCAGACCCUACACCCAUCAGUUGGACUCCAAGAGCUGCCAGCCUGACCCUUCUCCUUCCAGGUGGACCCCAAAAGCUGCUGGCCAGACACCACUACUAUUACCUGGACCCCAAGAGCCUCCAGCCAGACUCCAGGGCUCCCCAUAGGACCCUCCAGCAGACCUGAGGCUCCUUGGCCUGUCCCUGCUCAGCCGGGGUGGCCGCAGCACUGGCUCCUUCGUGAUCACAUAAACUUCUCAGCUCCGAUCCCCUUUAGCUGCCACCAGAGCGUGAGCGCGUCCCUCCCGGGGGGACAAGGACCAAGGGGGACUUCUGGCGCCCUGGUUCCUUCCGAAGCAGAAAGUUGGAGGGGCCAGGCAGCCCCAGUUCCCGUGCUGCCCUUGGACUCACCUUGGCUCCCGGGAUCUGAACGCUAAUUUCUCCCUAAGCAGCGUCUCUUUUUACUCAUGGUUAAACUGGGAUCCCUCACCAGCCUCCCAUCAGGAGUGACCUGGGGGCUCAUCCCCAUGUGUUUGGGGCAGGGGAGUGUGGCACCAACAGCCUCCACAGCUGAUUGGGAUGAGCAAAAACUGGCAUCCCAUUGGGACCCCCCCAUCUCUAAUGUCUCUUAAUUGGUUAAGGAGCUCAGCUCUCCACUUUAUCAUCUCCUCGCCGCCUUCUCCUUCACCUUUUGGUGUUGUGCUGGCGAAAGGGGGCUGGUUUAAUGUGAUUACUCCGGUAAAGCCCACUUAAGAGGAUUCGUGGGGCUUGGCUUUACGGUACCGCAGGGGGAUGAGCGUGCUGGCCGUGGGAUGGUGGAAAGUGUGGAAGAGGCUUUGUAAGCAACAUGGUCGUUGGCACCUCAAACCGUGGUGUCCCACGGGUGACCCCGGGAUUCCGCAGACCCCUUGGGUGCCACGUGCUGCCUUUACCUGGCUCUGCAAGGCAGAGAUUGGCCCGUGGCGCAGCUGCUGCUUGUCCCAGCGAGAGGUGCAGGUAAUGGGAAGUGGAAAACACAAAGAAGGGGGAAGAAGUGCCUUGGCGGGGAUCUGGGGCUGGUGUUUGGGGAGGGAGAGGGCUGCACCUUGUAAAGGAAUAUGGGGAGAGGAUGGUUUAUGCUGGGACUGGGUAAACCCAGCAUGUUUUACAGUGUUUUCCAGAAUAACACUGCUCCAGGCAGGUGUUUGUCCCAGGCUGUGGAUCGGCAGAGGGGUUUGUCCCCUGGGCAGCUCAGGGACGAGCGUGUUGCUGCCAGUGCCGUGUCAGCUCUGCAGCUCUCCUGCUCUAGCACCAUGUCCCACUUCUCGCAGGAAGAAGGAGCUACACAGAGAUGCUGUGAAACCUCCUUUUGCCGUUCUGCAGGGAGCCAUCGGGUCACGUGUGCUCACCAGUAUCCUACUGGUAGAGCCAGUGUGGCUGAUCUGUGCUGGGCAGAUGCGUCUGCUGCUCCCCAGGGUGCUGCAGGCUCUGGUCCUGCAGCGGGACCACGCGAGCUGAACUGAAUCCCAAACCCCAGUUCUGAGCCAGCAAGAUUGAAGUCCUCAACUGGAAACGGGGCCUCCCAGUUAGAACUGGGCUGAGCAUCACUGCUCAUCUGCAGCUCAAGUUCAGGUUUCUGGAUUUCACAACUUUUUAAAUGACUUUUGUCAUCUCUGGGGAUGGAGGCUGGGAGAUUGUGGUGCUCCUCUCUGGGUUGGAGAAGGUAAAAGCACUUGCGCUGUUCCAGGAGCCGAGUUCAAACCCCAAACCACCCGAGAACAAAAGCUGUGGGUGACCCAGAGCUCUGGGGCUGACACCAGAGUGUCCUCCAGAUGUUCUGGUCUCCCAAGGAAUCCUGCAGCAACGUCCAAACCAUCAUCUCUGCAACAUUAAAUUAUCUUUCUGGGUUUUUUUUCAAUAACGUGGCCCAGGUUUCCACAGGGCCUCCAGAAAUGUGUGUAUGUGUCCAGGCAUAUUGAUAUAUAUUAACUUAAAUAUCAUAUAGAUGGACCAGGUGAGUACAAGCGGAUUAGGAGCAUCAGGUGCGGGGGGCAUCUGCAGGACUGACAGGCCCCAAGAUCUGGUCCUAAAUAGCUUCUUUUCCACAAAAAUCUACAAGGCAGUAUGUCUGUGUCCAUAUAGCAUUUACACCCAGGUUUUUCUUAUUUAUGCUUUUCUUUGCUCAGGGAUAAUUGCUGCAGAGCAACAGCUGAUUUGGGCUGAGCCCAGAGGGCUGCUGUAACGGGAGUCCCGGGGGACAGGAGAGGGCUAAGCCAGAUGCAUUAUCUCUGCCCUAAGUGCAAAUUUUCUAAAUUAUGAAGCAAAUUCAGCCUUUCCAAACCCCAACCCCAGGGUGCAGUCAGCGCAGCUCCAUGGCAUCCCGGCUCAGCAGGUACCAGCUGUCGGUGAAGCGCGAACUCAACAAACCACCACCAAAUUUCUGCAAGCACCAAUAAAGCAUUGAGUGGAAAAAACGCUUGCUGCUUUCCCUCUUGUUUUUCUUGGCUCCUCUGCGUUGCGGGCGGGCUGACACAGGGAGCUCUGUGUCUGCAGAUGGCUGCGAUCCUUGGGGAAGCCGCGCGGCUCCAGACAAUGCGCCCAUUGCUGCCGGGAGAGCAGUGACCCUGAGAUCAUGAAGCUGCAAGACUCUUAAUAAAACUGCAGGAGUUGCUGCAACAUCUGUCCCACUUCAGUGCCAACGCAGUCCUCGGGGCGGCUGAGCUCUGAAACCGCAGCGUACGCAGAAAUUUGUCCCAUUUCCUACACUUGGGCAAAUGCCGUGCAACAGAAACCGCGGAUCCGAACUCUGUGUCUGCAGGACACGUGAGGGAUUUUGUCCUCUGGUGCAAUAAAGAGGCAAAGAUGGACUCUUAA